AGUAGUUUGAUCCGUGGCUCAGGAUAAACGCUGGCGGCGUGCUUAACACAUGCAAGUCGAACGGAGUAUUCCUCCCGAGGAUUGACGAAGCUUGCUUCUGAUUGACUCAAGGUUGGAAUACUUAGUGGCGGACGGGUGAGUAACGCGUGGGUAACCUGCCUCACACAGGGGGAUAACAGUUGGAAACGACUGUUAAUACCGCAUAAGCGCACAAUACCGCAUGGUAUGGUGUGAAAAACUCCGGUGGUGUGAGAUGGACCCGCGUCUGAUUAGCUAGUUGGUGAGGUAACGGCCCACCAAGGCGACGAUCAGUAGCCGGCCUGAGAGGGUGUACGGCCACAUUGGGACUGAGACACGGCCCAAACUCC
rnacentral:rRNA from 1 species